rnacentral:rRNA from 1 species
CCCUUUGAUGUCCUGGGCCGCACGCGCGCUACACUGAGUGUCUGAGAUACGAGUCUGCCUGGUCCGGCAAGGUCUAGGUAAUCGCUAAAAGACACAUCAUGCUUGGGAUAGAUUAUUGCAAAUAUUAAUCUUGAACGAGGAAUUCCUAGUAAGCGCAAGUCAACAGCUUGCGUUGAUUACGUCCCUGCCCUUUGUACACACCGCCCGUCGCUACUACUGAUUGGAUGUUUAAGCGAGGUUCUCGAACUGCUAGCGACUUAGCUUCGGUGAGGUCGCAGUGUGGGAAGUGAACCUAGCUUUGGUGUCUAGAGGAAGUAAAAGUCGUAACA